rnacentral:misc_RNA from 1 species
GAAAUGCGAUACGUAGUGUGAAUUGCAGAAUUCAGUGAAUCAUCGAAUCUUUGAACGCACAUUGCGCCCUUUGGUAUUCCAAAGGGCAUGCCUGUUCGAGCGUCAUUUGUACCCUCAAGCUUUGCUUGGUGUUGGGCGUUUUUUUUGUCUUUGGCUCGCCCAAGGACUCGCCUUAAAACGAUUGGCAGCCGGCCUACUGGUUUCGCAGCGCAGCACAUUUUUGCGCUUGCAAUCAGCAAAAGAGGACGGCAAUCCAUCAAGAACUCCUUCUCACGUUUGACCUCGGAUCAGGUAGGGAUACCCGCUGAACUUAAGC